ACCACUAGGGGCAGUGCAAAGUGGAAUUAGUUGGGUUCCCACCAAAAUAAAAACAAACUUGUUGACAGCCGGUCAAUUUGAAAUUAUCCCAACCAAGAACACUACUUAAAUUCACCAAAUUUGUCUUUUGCGGCUCAUGUGGGAAACAUUUUCAGUUUUUGGCUGACGCUGAAGACGACGGACCAUCAUCGGACAACCUCUCUGAAGAGGAUCUAAUUCUUAAGUACUUCAGAAAUGGCCAUAAUUACAAUGCUGUUUUGAAUUUCUUGGAAACUAAACAUAACCUUAAAAUGAGCCUUUGCUGAAUGGCCCUGGACAGCAUUACGGGUACCGCACAAUGUGGCAGACAUUGCAUCAGAAGUAUGGUGAGAAGGCAAGACGUCAUGCUUAUGCUUGCUGAUGUUGAUCCAUCAGGUGUUGAACAACACUCAAGACGAAGAUUUGUGAGAAGAGUUUAUCAUUCCCUGGGACCAAACCAUGUUUGGCAUGUAGAUGGAUACGACAAAUAAAAACCAUAUGGUUUGGCAUUUAGUGGCUGUAUUGACGGUUAGUCAUGCAAAGUAAUGUGGUUGAUAUGUGGAGCAAGCGACAAUGAUCCAGAGGUCAUAGCUCAACAUUAUCUGCAUUGUGUCACUGAAUUUGGAGUCAUAUCAAUUUUGCAGGGGCUCCAAGUCAUAUAUAUGGCUCCUCAACCUCAAACCAGCAAAUUGAAAGCUGGUUGUCAUACUUCAGAAAACAAAUGUAUUGUCAUAACCAUUUAUACAGAUUUCUAUAGGAGUAUUAAUUUAGUUUAAAAAUAUUGUGAUGAUGGGUCUGUGUACUGUCAGUG